CAUAUACUCCCUCCGUUCCAAAAUAGAUGACCUAACUUUGUACUAAAGUAGUACAAAGUUAGUACAAAGUUAGGUCAUCUAUUUUGGAACGGAGGGAGUAUGAG
rfam:Triticum aestivum genome assembly, contig: Triticum_aestivum_CS42_TGACv1_scaffold_513213_6BS